GAGUCGUGGAGGGAACUUUCCCAGGCCCCGAGGCGGAUCGGGUAUUGAGUCCAUGGAGCGAGCUGAGAGCUAGAGUACAGAACCUGCUAAGGCCAUCAAACCUAUCGAUCGGAAGUCAGUCCAUCAGAUUUGCUCUGGGCCGGUGGUACUGAGUCUAAGCACUGCGGUGAAGGAGUUAGUAGAAAACAGUCUGGAUGCUGGUGCCACCAAUAUUGAUCUAAAGCUUAAGGACUAUGGAGUGGAUCUCAUUGAAGUUUCAGACAAUGGAUGUGGGGUAGAAGAAGAAAACUUUGAAGGCUUAAUCUCUUUCAGCUCUGAAACAUCACACAUGUAAGAUUCAAGAGUUUGCCAACCUAACUGAGGUUGAAACUUUCGGCUUUCAGGGGGAAGCUCUGAGCUCACUGUGUGCACUGAGCGAUGUCACCAUUUCUACCUGCCACGCAUCGGCGAAGGUUGGGACUCGACUGGUGUUUGAUCACGAUGGGAAAAUCAUCCAGAAAACCCCCUACCCCCACCCCAGAGGGACCACAGUCAGCGUGAAGCAGUUAUUUUCUACACUACCUGUGCACCAUAAGGAAUUUCAAAGGAAUAUUAAGAAGACGUGCCUGUUUCCCCUUCGCCUUCUGCCGUGAUUGUCAGUUUCCUGAGGCCUCCCCAGCCAUGCUUCCUGUACAGCCUGCAGAACUGUGAGUCAAUUAAACCUCUUUUCUUCAUAAAUUA
ensembl:lncRNA PMS2P4 PMS1 homolog 2, mismatch repair system component pseudogene 4